GGGGGUGCAGCUCAGUGGUAGAGCACAUGUUUAGCAUGUAUGAGACCCUAGGCUCAAUUCCCAGCACUUGCA
rnacentral:tRNA from 1 species